rnacentral:rRNA from 1 species
CGGGGGGGCUAGCGUUGUUCGGAAUUACUGGGCGUAAAGGGCGCGUAGGCGGUCUGCUAAGUUGGGUGUGAAAACUCUGGGCUUAACCCAGAGCCUGCAUUCAAAACUGACAGGCUAGAGUUCUGGAGGGGAUAGCGGAAUUCCUGGUGUAGCGGUGAAAUGCGUAGAUAUCAGGAGGAACACCGGUGGCGAAGGCGGCUAUCUGGACAGAGUCUGACGCUGAGGCGCGAAAGCUAGGGGAGCAAACAGGAUUAGAUACCCUGGUAGUCCUAGCCCUAAACGAUGGAUACUUGGUGUGACUGGGAUUGAAUCCAGUCGUGCCGAAGCUAACGCAUUAAGUAUCCCGCCUGGGGAGUACGGUCGCAAGGCUG